rnacentral:rRNA from 1 species
GUGGGGAAUAUUGGACAAUGGGCGCAAGCCUGAUCCAGCCAUGCCGCGUGAGUGAUGAAGGCCCUAGGGUUGUAAAGCUCUUUCACCGGAGAAGAUAAUGACGGUAUCCGGAGAAGAAGCCCCGGCUAACUUCGUGCCAGCAGCCGCGGUAAUACGAAGGGGGCUAGCGUUGUUCGGAAUUACUGGGCGUAAAGCGCACGUAGGCGGACAUUUAAGUCAGGGGUGAAAUCCCGGAGCUCAACUCCGUAACUGCCUUUGAUACUGGGUGUCUGGAGUAUGGAAGAGGUGAGUGGAAUUCCGAGUGUAGAGGUGAAAUUCGUAGAUAUUCGGAGGAACACCAGUGGCGAAGGCGGCUCACUGGUCCAUUACUGACGCUGAGGUGCGAAAGCGUGGGGAGCAAACAGGAUUAGAAACCCUGGUAGUCC